CCUACGGGUGGCUGCAGUCGAGGAUCUUCGGCAAUGGGCGCAAGCCUGACCGAGCGACGCCGCGUGUGCGACGAAGGCCUUCGGGUUGUAAAGCACUGUCGAGGGGGAGAGGGUACAUCUGGAGGAAGCACGGGCUAAGUUCGUGCCAGCAGCCGCGGUAAGACGAACCGUGCGAACGUUGUUCGGAAUCACUGGGCUUAAAGGGCGCGUAGGCGGGCGGCCGCGUCCGGGGUGAAAUGCCACGGCUCAACCGUGGAACGGCCUCGGAUACGGGCGGCCUCGAGGGAGGUAGGGGCAUCGGGAACUGUGAGUGGAGCGGUGAAAUGCGUUGAUAUUCACAGGAACUCCGGUGGCGAAGGCGCGGUGCUGGCCCAUCUGACGCUGAGGCGCGAAAGCCAGGGGAGCGAACGGGAUUAGAUACCCUUGUAGUC
rnacentral:rRNA from 1 species